rnacentral:rRNA from 1 species
ACUCCUACGGGAGGCAGCAGUGGGGAAUAUUGCACAAUGGGCGCAAGCCUGAUGCAGCCAUGCCGCGUGUAUGAAGAAGGCCUUCGGGUUGUAAAGUACUUUCAGCAGUGAGGAAGGUGGGUAUGUUAAUAGCAUAUUCAUUUGACGUUAGCUGCAGAAGAAGCACCGGCUAACUCCGUGCCAGCAGCCGCGGUAAUACGGAGGGUGCGAGCGUUAAUCGGAAUUACUGGGCGUAAAGCGCAUGCAGGUGGUUUGUUAAGUCAGAUGUGAAAGCCCGGGGCUCAACCUCGGAAUUGCAUUUGAAACUGGCAAACUAGAAGUACUGUAGAGGGGGGGUAGAAUUUCAGGUGUAAGCGGUGAAAUGCGUAGAGAUCUGAAGGAAUACCGGUAGGCGAAAGGCGGCCCCCCUGGACAGAUACUGACACUCAGAUGCGAAAGCGUGGGGAGCAAACAGGAUUAGAUACCCUGGUAGGCUACUGC